rnacentral:lncRNA from 1 species
UUUGGAAAGAAGCUUUGAAGGACUUUUUUUCUUCAGUUUUUCCUGCAAGGACAGUGAAGUGUCAGCAUUCUUGGCUGAACUUCAGCUGUUCCUUAACAAGUCUCCACAAGACAGCUGUGCCUUGCCACAUAUCCUUCCUUUACUUUCUUGUCAAGGCCUGAUGCCUCUUCUAGAGCAAAAAAUAAAAUAAAUCCUCUACUCCCUGAACACAAUACUGUUUCCAAAAUAUUAGCUGUUUGCUUUCUUCAAAGCAAAUGCAACUCGCUAAGUGACUUUUUGGACAAAUAUUGACACAAUUAAGUUCCUUGCAGUUUUCACCCUUCAGUGUGUCUGACUAAACCUAUACUGCAACAUAAUGACUAAUUUUGUAAAGUGUAAUGUAAACACCGUUGUGGUUCUUGUUUUUAUCUGUGUUUACCUUUGACAACCCAGCCAUAAACAUGGAUUUAAAAGGUUCUGAAAGAGCACUGUUUCUUGUUGCUGCAGUUUGUUUGCUAAAAUAGCCUGCCUUUCUUAUUAGGGUACUUUUAUUUUUUUCCUUGCGAAUCCUUGGGCAGAUUUCAAAGCAUCCAGUUUCCCUGUGUUCAACAAAUAAAUAAAUAAAUAGUCAUGGGACUGCCCUCAUCAUUUCUGAGCCCUUUUUCUUCAUGGUUCCUCUUUACAGUUUCAGGCACUGAUUUCUGUCGGGUAAAAUAAAUGUUUGCCGUUAAAUAAUUGAAGGGUUUUUAUUUUCUGAUUCUUGCGUGGGGUUUUUCUGUUUGUUCUUCUUAAACAGAUAGAUAGCAAGCAGGUAGAUAGCACUGAAAGUAGAGACUCCUUUCCACCAGGCCCUUUUCCUCUGUAUUCUGUUUUCCAAACACACGCAGGCUUUCACAGUUCUGCAUGCUUUCAGUGUUCAGGAAUUUAUUAUUUUAUAUUAAUAAGGCCUUUUGCUAAUUUUCCAAUUGCAAACAUUCUCAGCACAAAGGAAUGCUGCAAACAGCUUGCCUCAAGCCAUGCAGUCACAAAAAGUCUUCAGCUCCCAGGAGAAGGUCUGUACGACUGCAAAUACUCCUCAUGACUCUCAGAUCUCAUUACUGGGAAGCCACCUUCUCCUGUGCAGGAAAAGGAAAGGAGCUGACAGACUCAACACAACAAGCUUCUCUGACCAGCAACAGCAUGGGAGGACUAAAAACCCAGGCUCACGGGCCCUGAAUCGCUCUGCUCUGAAUCAGGGGAAGGGACUGAACCUGGGGCUGCAGUAGACUGGUGGCUGCUCCUUCAGCUUAGAGGUUGACUUUCCUUCAGCAAGAUAACCAGGGAUUUCCCCAGCAAGGACAGCAGUGGACUGAGCCUGCCCAAAAGUGCCAGAGCAGCAGCCCAGACCUGGUAAGAACCUGUGCACAGACUGCUUUUGGGAGACUGCAAAUCACUGCCUGAGAUCAAGGUGUUAGGACAUCUGCUUGCCCUCAGCUCUCUGCCCUUCUCCCCGUCAGGACAGCAACAGCAGAAGCCCCGUCUGCAGAGAUUUAUUGUGUCAGAGGGUGGUUUUGUCUGUUUUCUCUCCCAGCUCGCCGGGCUUAACCUUUUGACCAUCCUUCAGCCUGCCUCAUAAUGUGCCUAUUUUAUCGACAAUUGCAGUUAAAAUGGAAGGCAGUUUGGCCAAUCCUGCUGGCUGCCGCUUUGAAAAUUUUGUCGUGACCUUGUUUGUGUCCUUAAUUCUUGCUGGAGAUGCUC